AUGCUUGCUUUAACAGCACAUAUAUUAAAACUGGAGUGAUACAGAAAAGAUUAGCAUGGUCCCAGUACAAGGAUGAUAUGUAGAUUUGUGAAGAGUUCCAUAAAAAA
ensembl:snRNA U6 U6 spliceosomal RNA